rnacentral:rRNA from 1 species
ACGGGAGGCAGCAGUGGGGAAUAUUGCACAAUGGGGGAAACCCUGAUGCAGCGACGCCGCGUGAGCGAAGAAGUAUUUCGGUAUGUAAAGCUCUAUCAGCAGGGAAGAAAAUGACGGUACCUGACUAAGAAGCUCCGGCUAAAUACGUGCCAGCAGCCGCGGUAAUACGUAUGGAGCAAGCGUUAUCCGGAUUUACUGGGUGUAAAGGGAGCGUAGACGGAACAGCAAGUCUGAUGUGAAAGGCGGGGGCUCAACUCCUGGACUGCAUUGGAAACUGUUGAUCUUGAGUGUCGGAGAGGUAAGCGGAAUUCCUAGUGUAGCGGUGAAAUGCGUAGAUAUUAGGAGGAACACCAGUGGCGAAGGCGGCUUACUGGACGAUAACUGACGUUGAGGCUCGAAAGCGUGGGGAGCAAACAGGAUUAGAUACCCUGGUA